AUUGAACGCUGGCGGCAUGCCUUACACAUGCAUGUCGAACGGCAGCACGGGUGCUUGCACCUGGUGGCGAGUGGCGACCGGGUGAGUAAUACAUCGGAACGUACCUUAUCGUGGGGGAUAACGCAGCGAAAGCUGUGCUAAUACCGCAUACGCCCUGAGGGGGAAAGCGGGGGAUCGAAAGACCUCGCGCGAUUAGAGCGGCCGAUGCCUGAUUAGCUUGUUGGUGGGGUAACAGCCCACCAAGGCGACGAUCAGUAGCUGGUCUGAGAGGACGAUCAGCCACACUGGGACUGAGACACGGCCCAGACUCCUACGGGAGGCAGCAGUGGGGAAUUUUGGACAAUGGGGGCAACCCUGAUCCAGCAAUGCCGCGUGAGUGAAGAAGGCCUUCGGGUUGUAAAGCUCUUUUGUCAGGGAAGAAACACCGGCUCUAACACAGUCCGGGAAUGACGGUACCUGAAGAAUAAGCACCGGCUAACUACGUGCCAGCCGCCGCAGUAA
rnacentral:rRNA from 1 species